rnacentral:lncRNA from 1 species
GGUGUGUAAAGGACUUAGUGUAUCAAAACUAGUAAAUACAAACUGCACUCAAUUAUCCAAAAAAAUCAUACAAUGCUCUUUACUUCAUUUUUAAAAUACUGGGAAAAUAUAAUUAAAAGCAAAAUAACUUUCUGUUGACCCAAAAAUCCUCUCCACACACACACACGCGUGUGCACACACACACCCCCACAAGAAUCCCAGUUGUUGGGUAGUGAAUGCCUCUACCUUAAUCAAUACCUGUUUUGAAGCUGUCAGUUUCUAUUUUCUCAUCAAAGAUGACGCCACAGAAUCUAGUCUUUACUUUGCCUGGUAGAUGAGGAAUACAGAACUCCUUAAUCUUAUCAGAAACAUGUAAAUUGACUGUUUUUGCAUGAUAUUUACUAAAUUUCUUUACUCAUCUACUGUGGACACUUACCACAAUAUGAAAUAGAGACUGCUCUUGGGCCAGGCACAGUGGUUCACGCCUGUAAUCCCAGCACUUUGGGAGACUGAGGUAGGUAGGUGGAUAACGAGGUCAGGAGUUCAAGACCAGCCUGGCCAAGAUGGUGAAACCCCGUUUCACUAAAAAUACAAAAAUCAGCUGGGCAUGGUGGCGGGCGACUGUAAUCCCAGCUACUCAGGAGGCUGAGCAGGGAGUUGCUUAAACCCGGGAGGUGGGGGUUGCAGUGAGAUCCAAGAUCGCACCACUGCACUCCAGCCUGGGUGACAGGGCAAGACUCCAUGUCAAAAAAGAAAAAAAAGGAAAAGCCGGGCACGGUGGCUCAUGCCUGUUAUCCCAGCACUUUGGGAGGUCGAGGCAGGUGGAUCACGAGGUCAGGAGAUUGAGACCAUCCUGGCCAACAUGGUGAAAUCCCAUCUCUACUAAAAAUACAAAAAAAUUAGCCAGAUGUGGUGGCAGGCACCUGUAGUCCCAGCUACUUGGGAAGCUGAGGCAGGAGAAUGGCGUGAACCCGGGAGGCGGAGCUUGCAGUGAGUCGAGAUUGCACCACUGCACUCCAGCCUGGGCGACAAAGCAAGACUCUGUCUCAAAAAAAAAAAAAAAGAAAAAGAAAAAA